UGGAGGGACCUGGCUCCUGGCGAGUGAUUUAAUUGAGACCCGGUGUGGAGGGACUUGGCUCCUGGUGAGUGAGUGAAUUGAGAUGAGGUAUGGAGGGACUUGGCUCCUGGUGAGUGAGUUAAUUGAGACUCUGUGUGGAGGGACCUGGCUCCUGGUGAGUGAGUUAAUUGAGAUGAGGUAUGGAGGGACCUGGCUCCUGGUGAGUGAGUUAAUUGAGAUCAGGUAUGGAGGGACCUGGCUCCUGGUGAGUGAGUUAAUUGAGAUGAGGUGUGGAGGGACCUGGCUCCUGGUGAGUGAGUUAAUUGAGAUGAGGUAUGGAGGGACCUGGCUCCUGGUGAGUGAGUUAAUUGAGAUCAGGUAUGGAGGGACCUGGCUCCUGGUGAGUGAGUUAAUUGAGAUGAGGUAUGGAGGGACCUGGCUCCUGGUGAGUGAGUGAAUUGAGAUCAGGUAUGGAGGGACUUGGCUCCUGGUGAGUGAGUUAAUUGAGACUCUGUGUGGAGGGACCUGGCUCCUGGUGAGUGAGUUAAUUGAGAUGAGGUAUGGAGGGACCUGGCUGCUGGUGAGUGAGGUAUGGAGGGACCUGGCUCCUGGUGAGUGAGUUAAUUGAGGUCAGGUAUGGAGGGACCUGGCUCCUGGUGAGUGAGUUAAUUGAGAUCAGUUAUGGAGGGACCUGGCUCCUGGUGAGUGAGUUAAUUGAGAUGAGGUAUGGAGGGACCUGGCUCCUGGUGAGUCUCCUGGAGGCAGCUGCUAUCUGGGAACACAGGCACAGGUGGGAACAGACCUUCACUUCCUGCUCACUUAGGUUCAGUGAGUUCUCC
rnacentral:lncRNA from 1 species